CUCUUUGUUCAAAAACAUUCCACACAUUCCGAUGUGUGGGGGAAGUGAAAGGUUUGUGUGUGCGUGUAUGUGUUGAUGUAAUUCGCCUGGCCAAGAUUCAUUACAUCUCCCCCUUUUCGUUAGGUGAAGUCCUUGUGUGACUUCAUCGAACGACACCAUCGCAAUGGACGGAUGGCAGGUGAAUCAUGAGGGUCAGGUGGCAGGCGGCGGCUAGGCUGAGGUAGGGGCUCAGCUUGCUGAGGUUUGACGCAGUCUCCAGCGUGGUACCCUCUUCCUGAGGGUCCCGUGGUGGCUGUGGAGGUUUGCAUUUCCUUGCCUCUUGUGCAGCGUGGAUGUCAAGUGUCAGGGUGUGGUUGAUUACCGUAGAGGUACCCAGUGCAGAAUCAGCUGCAGUCCAGGAUUGGACUACCGGUGAGGCAGUUGUGCAGUGCAACAGGUGUGCAGUUGAGACACAGCGGUCACUGGGAA